GAUGAACGCUGGCGGCGUGCCUAAUACAUGCAAGUCGAGCGAACGGACGAGAAGCUUGCUUCUCUGAUGUUAGCGGCGGACGGGUGAGUAACACGUGGAUAACCUACCUAUAAGACUGGGAUAACUUCGGGAAACCGGAGCUAAUACCGGAUAAUAUUUUGAACCGCAUGGUUCAAAAGUGAAAGACGGUCUUGCUGUCACUUAUAGAUGGAUCCGCGCUGCAUUAGCUAGUUGGUAAGGUAACGGCUUACCAAGGCAACGAUGCAUAGCCGACCUGAGAGGGUGAUCGGCCACACUGGAACUGAGACACGGUCCAGACUCCUACGGGAGGCAGCAGUAGGGAAUCUUCCGCAAUGGGCGAAAGCCUGACGGAGCAACGCCGCGUGAGUGAUGAAGGUCUUCGGAUCGUAAAACUCUGUUAUUAGGGAAGAACAUAUGUGUAAGUAACUGUGCACAUCUUGACGGUACCUAAUCAGAAAGCCACGGCUAACUACGUGCCAGCAGCCGCGGUAAUACGUAGGUGGCAAGCGUUAUCCGGAAUUAUUGGGCGUAAAGCGCGCGUAGGCGGUUUUUUAAGUCUGAUGUGAAAGCCCACGGCUCANCCGUGGAGGGUCAUUGGAAACUGGAAAACUUGAGUGCAGAAGAGGAAAGUGGAAUUCCAUGUGUAGCGGUGAAAUGCGCAGAGAUAUGGAGGAACACCAGUGGCGAAGGCGACUUUCUGGUCUGUAACUGACGCUGAUGUGCGAAAGCGUGGGGAUCAAACAGAAUUAGAUACCCUGGUAGUCCACGCCGUAAACGAUGAGUGCUAAGUGUUAGGGGGUUUCCGCCCCUUAGUGCUGCAGCUAACGCAUUAAGCACUCCGCCUGGGGAGUACGACCGCAAGGUUGAAACUCAAAGGAAUUGACGGGGACCCGCACAAGCGGUGGAGCAUGUGGUUUAAUUCGAAGCGACGCGAAGAACCUUACCAAAUCUUGACAUCCUUUGACAACUCUAGAGAUAGAGCUUUCCCCUUCGGGGGACAAAGUGACAGGUGGUGCAUGGUUGUCGUCAGCUCGUGUCGUGAGAUGUUGGGUUAAGUCCCGCAACGAGCGCAACCCUUAAGCUUAGUUGCCAUCAUUAAGUUGGGCACUCUAAGUUGACUGCCGGUGACAAACCGGAGGAAGGUGGGGAUGACGUCAAAUCAUCAUGCCCCUUAUGAUUUGGGCUACACACGUGCUACAAUGGACAAUACAAAGGGCAGCGAAACCGUGAGGUCAAGCAAAUCCCAUAAAGUUGUUCUCAGUUCGGAUUGUAGUCUGCAACUCGACUACAUGAAGCUGGAAUCGCUAGUAAUCGUAGAUCAGCAUGCUACGGUGAAUACGUUCCCGGGUCU
rnacentral:rRNA from 1 species